AUUGAACGCUGGCGGCAGGCCUAACACAUGCAAGUCGAGCGAGCGGCGGACGGGUGAGUAAUGUAUGGGGACUGCCCGAUAGCGGGGGAUCACUACUGGAAACGGUAGCUAAUACCGCAUACUAUCGGAUAACCCAUAUGGGAUUAGCUAGUAGGUGAGGUAAUGGCUCACCUAGGCGACGAUCCCUAGCUGGUCUGAGAGGAUGAUCAGCCACACUGGGACUGAGACACGGCCCAGACUCCUACGGAGGCAGCAGUGGGGAAUAUUGCACAAUGGGCGAAAGCCUGAUGGAGCCAUGCCGCGUGUAUGAAGAAGGCCCUAGGGUUGUAAAGGACUUUCGGUAGGGAGGCGUUACCGACAGAAGAAGCACCGGCUAACUCCGUGCCAGCAGCCGCGGUAAUAC
rnacentral:rRNA from 1 species